AUAAAUUGCCUUAGAUGUACGUGCAUCCUUCCUCUUAUUAUUUUGGGGGAUUGCAAGGAUCAAGAGCCAGGGCUUUUUGCUUUGGUCUCAAGGCGAGUUCAUUCAAGAAGUCGCUGGUUGCUGUUGCUGCCCUUCCAGGGCUUUUCAGCUAUUGCUGCUCUUUUUCAGGCUGCCAGGCUUUGCGAGAGCCUUUACAACCCCACUCCCUGCUUCCCCAGAAGUGCUUAGCAGCUGUGAGAGAACAGAGUUAGGAGAAACAGCUCCUUGCUUGCACUUUAAGAUUGUUUGUCCUGUAUCAGGACAGGAAAAAGCAUUAAUCUGGAAGUCAUUUGUUUUUCUUGGAAGGCUUUUUCUUUCGGUUUCAACCUUUUGUGUAUAAACUUGCUUGUGGUGCCUGCUGCUUCCGCCCCUCACCACCCAGUGCUUUCAAAAGGAGAAGGACACACUGACCCCAAAACCACGUUCUUCCAUCUUUGACAAGGCUGUAAGCUGCUGAUCGGGGUUAGGGAGGCUCAGGGCUGCUCAGAAGAGUGUGACUCUGUGUGAGCAGCAGAAACCCGAUGAUGCUUUUGGUUUUAAGGUACUUUUUCCUCUGACAGGUGGAGGAUGUAGGCGAGGUCUGGGGCUCGAGGCCGACUGCUGUGUUAGGGGCUUGACUUCAGUCAGGAAUAAUCAAAAGGUUGUUAUGAAAGUGGCUGUUCAGAACUUCCCUCCUUGUUGACUUCUGCUCCUAAAUGUUCUGUGUUUCUUUACGAGUGUUAACCUACAUAGGCUGGCGAUACACAGAGGUUUAUAAGAUUAGCUGCCUGUUUAGGCACACUGUAAAACACAUCCCUAACCAUGUACCUUAUGACUACCAUAAUGGCAAGGAAGCCUGGCUGACAAAUUCAGUGGCAGGAAGCAAAGUAAACAUCCGAGGGAUGUAAUAAAGAGGUUCAGGAAGGCAGGACUUAGCCACGUACCAGAGGCGAGACUUGACACCAGUUACAUUUCUGGUCCUGUAGCCCCAGCACAACCGGUCACUAAACAUCAUCCAACAAAACAUUUACCUCAACUGCUCCUGAGCCGGGGUCUGUGUGAAAAAGCAGGGCUGGGACCUGGCAGUCCCCGAACUGAGGGGUAAUUCAGCAGAGGGGAGGAUGUAUGCAGCAAAGCUUUCUCUCUCUCACGCUGCUUGCACUACUGCUGAUUGCAGAUACGGGUCAGGCUGCGGAACUCCAGCUCCCUGUGAGGGUGUUCGUAGGGGAUAUUGGGCUGGGGAUUUCCAGAGGCUUAAUUAAAUCUCUGUCCAGGAACUCAAAGGCCUUGGUUAAGAGGAGAAAAAUGCCAAAUGAUGCAAGUAUUAGAGCAGAGAAAGAUGAAUUAAUGUUGCUAGAAAGGAACUGUAAAAAUAUAUAUUUUUUGUAUGCUGGCAACAGAUUUCAGGCCAGUCCAUUACAGCUGGUGGGAAAGAGUUUUGUUUUGUUUUUUUAAGCAGAGGUUAAAAAAAAUAAGAGGCUCAGUGGCAUUUGGAAAAGAGGAAGAAAACCAAGCUCAGCAAACGUGCUUGGAAAUGAUAAGACACGGGGGAGAGCAGCAGAGAUGGUGCUGGAGGGUUUGUGUUACAAGUGCAGCAGCAUCUCUGUAGCUGCUCCAGCCCAGCUAGGGCUUGAACAAGCCUCUGGUGAGCCAUAGGCUGACUGUGGGAGGAAAGGAGUGCAGUUUCUCUUGGGUUUUUAAAUAUUGCAGUGUUGGGCUUCUGCGCCUCUGGCUUUCCCCUGAAAGCUCAGGGCCUGCUCUUUGGAGGCUCCUGUCGGGUGCUAACAGCCCGCCUGCACUGGGCUUGGCUGCACACAGCGGCGAGGAAUGUAGGACCCGUGGCAUGGAUAGAUGCUGGGUUUGAUUGCUUGGGCUGGUUUAUUUUUUUAUUUUCCUUAUGGAAGAAAUGGGUAAUGUGUUCUGGGGCUGGGAUGCUGGGUGCCUUUGCGGUGACACGGGGAGAAGGGGGGUGCGUGUGUUGUUGGGAGGCAACUGGGGGCUUUCCUGCCACUUCUCACCCUUUGCUCACACAGAGCAGAGGUCAGCCGUCUUGCUGAUAAAUAUUUGUAGUUUUGAUGUUUUGGAAGCCAAGUGCAGGGAGAUCAAAACUCGACCUUGUCAGCUUUUUGGGAUAGUGGGGACUGGCCGCUUCCCACGCGUUGCUGUGGGGUUGCUUCAUGUGGCCUGCUCUUCUCCUGGAGAUGCUGCAGGUCCUCGGGGGCUCUCCUGCAGGAUCUGGACACGAAGAAGCACAGCAGGGCUGUCUUCUGGGCAGAAGUGGGCCUUCAGGCCAGGAGGAAGGAGUUUUUUCCUGGCUCCACCACAGAUUUACUCCCUGAAACUUCAGCCACUUGGCAUCGAUGCCUUGGUGGGACAAGGAGCGGGUGCUGGCAGAGCGGCUCCGUGCUGCUGCUCCUGUGUGUCCCUGCUGCAUGGGGCCCUAGUCCUGGAGUUCCUAGCGUGCCCCAGAGUGGGGCAAAGAUUUUAAACCUUCACCCUCAGCCAUGGGGCAAGUAUUCAGGAGGCUUUCAUCUUUGGAAAAUGCUCUGGGUGCUCUGGAUGAAAGAGCUAUUAUUUACCUAUCAACAACAUAAUCCCCCUCCCUCCUCCAGAUUGUGGGCAAGCUCCUGGGGCAAACGGCACUGUAAUUAAGAACAAAUAUUUACUAUGAAGGACUAGCUGAGGCCUGGCUGGGCAAGCAGCCACGAGCCUUGUCUGAACUUGCCUUCUGUUUGUUCCCCUUUGAAAGCAAGGAGUCAAAGUCUUUUGUCAGAGGAGUGUUUGUGAGGCACAAGAUGGUGGGUUGGGCCUCUGAAGCAGCCAGGAACCGUCAGGCCGUUUGUUCCAAGCCUAGGAAAUCCCCCACAAGCAGCAGUUACUUGCUCUAGAGGCACUUGGCUUCUCUUGUUAGGGAUUGCUGUUCAUCAGAUCUGCAAGUGAGGGUGGGUGCAGAGGGACGCCCGCAUGCAGGAACUGCAGCUGGCAUCACGCUGCAAGCAAGCCUUGGGAAAUGUUUGUUUGUGUGCUUUAAAAUCACAGAUUAAUUUAGGCUUCAUUUGCAUCUACUUUCCCUUUUGAUUUUUCUUGCAAUUCAGGAGUUUACUUCCCGGGGCUCAAGUCCUGGUGUUUUGAUGCAAGGAGCUCGGCUGCCGGAGAAAGCAAGCGCUUGCAAAACUGUUUCACAGCUCAACCUCGCAGCCUACUCACCUGCCCUUGGCCACACUGAUCAACAGCAAGGAGGGGUGACGGGGAUCUUGCUCAUCUUCUGGCAAAGCCCAGCAAGCUGAAAUUUAAUAAAUAAGUCAAUUGUGAGUAAUAGAAGUAAUUGCAAGGAUGUGGUGUGUGGUUCAACCAGCUAUCACUGGUGUGGUAAUGCAACAAGGCAUGUGAUUAGACUGGGAAAUUGCUGUAGCAUACCAAGAUAGACAGCAUGAACAAGUAAACGUGGGAGACAUGUACGCAGACAUGCAGAGCUCACAAAAGGACUGAGCAAAGUGCCCAAGCAGCGCCAGCACCAGCUCCCAGGGUGCUGAGAAAGCCCUGGAAGUAACCAGAGAGCUGCCCCGCAGCGUGCUGAUGUGCGUGCCACAAUGCUCAAGAUUACAACUUGUCCAAGUCUUUUAGGAAUAUGUGACCAACUGGUCUGAUUUAAGAGACUUUUUUUUUUUUUUUUGGGUUGUUCCUCCUUGAGGUAGGGGUGGUUAUGUAGUCUCUGCGGUGCGGUAACUAAAAACGGGGCUUGUGGCUUCCUGCGCUCGCGGGCUGAGCCUACCUGCCUGGAGCUUGUGUAUUUGAUGGCCGCUUCAGUUUUUUAAAAUAACCUCCUUUGCUACCAGAGAGCAGCCGUCCUCUGGGGCUGUAGUCUGACCGAGGUGUAGGCUCUGGUUUGCGAGCUUGGCUGCAGCACUAGGGUGAAGGCAGGGGAAGCCUGGGGGGGCUGAGUAGGGGAAGGCCAUGCAGCAGUGGGGCAGAGAGUCACAGAGGAGGAAAUGUGAGAUAGAGAAGGCCCUGGCAGACUCGAGGUUAGUGCCUUACAAAGGCAGGAACAGGCUCAGCAGGCACUUUCUGGGGCUUUAUCAGCACCAACCUCCUGGUUUGGCCCAGUAGAUGCACGCGAGGAGGAAGUGGCGGUGCAGGCACUCCAGCUUGUGCCAGGACCGGGAUGUUAGCGCUGGCAACCCCCCGCUAAAGACACUGCUCGAGUGGAAUGAAAAGUGCUCGCUGGUUUUUGGGUUAAACCCACACCAUCCCGUUUCGUGGAAAUAUUCAUUUUUGGCUUCUGUGGCCAAAAGAAGCGCCAGAAAAGGGUUUGGGUCUCUGGUUUGGUGUGAACCAAAGUCAUCCACUGGUGGUGUGUCCCGUGCAGCUGGGCUGUAGGAGGGGAGCCUGGCUUUCAGCUCCUGAUCUUUGCCAGGGAAACAGACAUCUACACUCCGUUUGCUGAGCCUGCAAGGCUUUUGCUGGAUUUUGAAGGGAAGGGUGUGAGUAAAACUGCCUGGAAGAUAGGCCAUGCUUUCUGUAAGCACUGAAGGUCUGCUCAGAGAAAGCAUAGCUUGUUUUUUGGGGGGGAAAAUGAUUCCCACUCUUUUUGUUGAUUUCCCCUUCUGCUGCUGUUUCCCUGUCACAUUUUCCCUGUGGUAGGUUAAGGGUCUCCCUCAUAUAUUUGGAUGCUGUACCCUGAAAAAGUCAGUUUGGCUAAAGAGCAAGCCUGCAAGAAAUGUUCAGAGCUCUUGUUUGUCUCGGCCAGUGUAAGGUCCUGAAGCCUACGAGACAGAGGCUGUGCACCUGAGCCUCGUGUUUGGCAGUGGGGACACGAGUGAGGAGCCAGGCAGUGGAAGAGGGGAGCAAAGUGAUAUAGAGAGAAGUGACUUCCAGCAACUUCCAGGGAGCCCAAGGGCACUCGAGGCAGAGCCGAGGCCUCCUAGCUCAGACCUCUGAGCCUGGUCCUCCCUCUGUGCUCCGCAGAGGGAGCUGGGCUGCGGAGACGGGGACUGUCUCUCGCUGUCAAAAUAUCACUGAGGAGAAACAAAUCUUUGCCAUCCCUGCCUGUUAUCACUGUUUCCUGGAGUCCUUUCCUUGUGUUUCUGCUAGUUCUCUCACUAAAAAUGUGCAUCCCGGGAUGCGAGAGCUGCCCUGGAGCCUGUGGUGCUGGCUGUGGGCCAGAGGUGGUGCAAGACCCCUGGCUAGGGCUAUGCAGACACAACAGCCCCCGUGUUUCAGCCACUCGGUGUCUUUUUUUGGGCUGUUUGGGACCUGCCCGGGCUGGGGCAGAGGUGUUCCUGCCCGGGGUGGAAGGGGUGGGCUUUGGGGUCCCUGCCAACCCAAACCGUUCUGUGAUUUGCAUCUCCUGCUGGCAUCAGCCGAACUCCUCACAGCUUGUGUGACUGCCGAGCCUCCUGUUCUGCUGUGCUAGAGGACUCGGAAGGUGGAGCUGUGCUCUCCAGGGGUGGUUUGUCAGGUGUGCACUAUUAUUCAGCACGGUUUGGUCCCGGAGACAGUCCUAGUGAGCUCCAUCCUGUGCAGCAAGCAGUUGCCAGCACUGGGGAGACCACCUUUUAAAAGUGUUUGGAUUUUUGUGCCAAGGAUAGGUCUGUCCUUGGAACGAUACGUACGCGAGGAAGAGUGAACUGUUCCUGCCUGCGCGGAGCCUGGAAGCAGAGGCUGGAUGGCUGCACGUUGGAAAUCCUGUCCUCAUGCCAGGUGUAACCAGGAUCAUCUGGUCCAAAUGUGUCUGCCUGAGACACGGCUCUGUUUUGGACAUGCUCUGAGCACAAAUGGAGUUUGCUGUCUGCUGGAGGAGCCAGGUCCCCAGUUGAGCAGAGCCUAACGGAAAUUGGAUCAGCUCCAAAAUGUCUGGAUGGCAUAUGAUAUUUACUGAAAUAUGGCACUGCUUGUGUAAGCAACACACCCUUCUCCCUCACUCUGAAAACCAUCUGGGCUUCAUGUGCAAGCAGUUAAAAACCAAGAGCAAGAGAGCAUCUGAUGCUGUAUGGCUCCUGUGAUGAGAGUCCCUGCUCUGGUCCCCGCCGUGGGUGUCCCUGCUUUCGGAGGCCUGGAAGCCUCAGCCAUGCCCUGACAUCCUCCUAGCAACUGGAGGAGGGUUUCUUCCUUCUUCCAGCGGUGGCUGUAAACAGAGUUUGUGUAGGGUUUUACUGCCAGGGUAAGAGAUGAGCUCUCUUGCCUGAGCCAGGGUAAAACCAUUACGCUGGCCAGGCCUUCCUCUGUUUCUAGCUGGAUCCGUAGCUGAUGGCUGCCUUGCUGGCUCUGCUAAGUUUUGUACUGCCUGAAGUCAAAGCUCCUAGGAGUGCGGAAGGGGUAUUUGGCAAGUCUGGGUACUUGCACGAGGAGGUAUUUUACCCAAAGGGAGCUGAGCAUCCUUGGGAGAGGAUUGGGACCGGGCAGGGCUCCCUGGCCCUUCACAUAGCCAGGCUGAGAAAGAAUUUGUUCGGUUCCACUGCUGGAGGGGCAGGGGGCCAGGGGAGUGCAGAGAAUUGCCCCCAGGGUUGGGCUUAGCUAAAGGUAGCACCUCUGGGGUGGGGUUAGGAUGUCCUCUGCUGUUUUUGAGGCUUUCUUUGUAUCUUCCUCUCUUAUCUGUGUGUACGCUCUGUGGGUUUUGUUUCUUACAGGGAGCAUCAUAUGACAGCCCCAGCAUCUGUGAUCUCUCUGGCAGACCGAUCCCUCUUCCUUCCUGAACCUGAUAAACAGUCCAAGAAACUGCGUGUGUGCGUAGACACCCCUAAGACCCACAGCUCGCUUCUCCAGUUCUUGGUGUGGUUUCUCUAUCCUUCCGGCACAGUUUCUGGUGCCACUCUGCUUCGCCUCCCCAUCUCCCCUCCUGCUGCGGGUUACCUGCUGCCACGUGCUGAGAAGCUGCAGCUGGUGCCAAGCAAGUUCUGAGGUGGUUUGGGUUUCAGGCAUGCCAAAAAAAGGCCCUGCAGUGCUUUCUGAAGUCAGCCGGCCCUCUGAGUGUUGGCAGUUCCUUGCCAGAGCACGGAUGCUGUAUCUCGUGGGUCACACGAGUGCCUGGUGCAGGCAGCUGCUGUUGGGAGAGUGAGGCCUGCUCGGUGCCUGAGCAGGGCACCGUGGCACAGUGGAGCUCUGUCUGAAGCUGGACUCUGACAGCACUAAAAUGGCCUCUCGUGCUUCCAACCUCAACAGCGGGUGGUUUUGUGGCCAAGGGAUCUGGCUCCGGCUGUGUUCCUGCUGUUUCAAAGUGGAAACGUGUGGUGUGCAGGCACCCAUCGAGGCCCAGGGGCUGGAGGCCUGAUCCUUGCACCUCUGCUCUGAGAGAGAAAUCCGGUCUCAUGGGCUGGGACUUCCUGAAGUCCCUUUUGGGUUGAGAGGGGUGCGUUUUCCUCAGUUCCUGAGAUAGCACACCAACUUGGACCUUCUUCUCCCCAGAUCAUUGCCAGGCCCAGUUCUCAGAUCCAGGCUGGACUAUAGCCUUGCGCAGUCCUCAGCUCUUCCAGCUGACUGCCCCUGUCUGAGAGCACAGCUGGUGCUCGAGAAGUGAUGUGUGUUUGUCCCCAUCUUCCAAGGUUGGAGGAAGCUUCCCGUUUCUAUAUUCCCUUCCUCCAUCCCUCAGAGCCUGGGAGAGAGCCAGCAGCUCAGCAUCUAUCGGCAGCGUUUAAACAGGUCACUCCAGUACCCAGGUACCCUUCUCAUCUCUCCACGUCUCCUUUUUGCUACUUUGGCAGAUUGCCUCGCCUGAUAGACUGCAUUUUGAUUCAUCUCUGAUAUUUAAUCUCAUCCCUGGAGAAGGAUGGGCUGGAAUGAUGCUGUGCUGCCCUGAGGUAGGAAUCAAGAGCUUUAGAGUGUUAUUUCAUUCAGCCCCAAAAAGUCCUCUAAUAACACAGAGGACGUUUUGUGCUGUAGUGAAAGGCAGCUUUGAGAGAUCACGUAAUCUGCCUUUGCCUGGCCUUGUGCUGUCUCGUAGGACUGGGAUCAAAAUACCAUCUCGGAUGCUGCAGCACAAUUGAUUGGAGCCACUUCAACCAAUUCCAUCUUUGUGUUCUGGAGGAAAGCAUUUCUCUCUCCUUCCCUGUCACGGUCAGAUGACAUCCAGGGCACUUGGUGACAAAACUGGCUGCUCUUUUUUCCCAGCUAUAGAGCCCGGAAUAAGAGCAGGGCACCGUGAUCUUUUUUUGCUCAAAGCGCUCACUCCCUUUUGCUGGGAGCUUCGGUCUCCUGGAGCAUGGUGGAAGGAGUCAGUGCCUUCACCUUGGCCAUGCCUGUGCUCCCUCCUGAAACUGAACGCAGUCUUCACGGGCCUGGUGCUUUGAAGGAAGCUGCCUGCAGCUUUAUUUACAUGACAUGGGUGGAGAUAGAAUAAAAGGAAACGAAGAAGCCCAUGCUAACAGCGAUGCCUUUUGUUUGUAACCAACAAAAAACAAAGUCUGGCUUCUCUAAAAAGCAAAGGCUGCCCGGCCAGCUGCUGCCCAUGGGCUCUGGCCGAUGCCCCUGCCUGGGCUGCAGCGCUGGCUCCCGGCACGCCGAGCUGCGCGGGGCAGUGCGAGCCGUGGUAGGUCGGGCUCUCCAGGCGUUCUUGGAGCAAGACCCCCUCCUCUCUCCAGAUGCUGAACUGUCUCUGAAGAGCUCUCGCUCUGGAUAGAUGUUUUUUUGUUUAGCUGCUUGGCCCCUGCCCAACAGAGCCUGUGUGGCUUUAUGGGAAAUGGUUUCGAGUUGUGCAGGAAUGGUGCUGCGCACAUCUGAACGCAUGCACCCGGCGGAUCUUCAGCUGGGGAUGAAAUCGCACUGCUGACCGCAAAUGUUUGUGCGUACGCAUUGAUUGCACUUAUCUGCAAAGUUAUAAUCCUUACUCAGCCGAAGGUUCUGGUGUUAGAAGUCUGCUUGUUAUUCCGUGUCUGUGCUCCGCAGGGCUCUGUUAAGCCCCUUUCUGCCUCCUUCCCCCUGGCAUGCUGCCCUUUAUCAUCCUGUGCCUUGCACCCUGUUGGAAGGAGGGAGGUGAUUUCCUUGGGGCUAGUGCCUGGGGCGUGGAGGGCACAGACCCUACCCGUAGGGGUACAAAACAGGUCAUGGCUUUAGUAUCUCUCCCUGAAAAGGCAUCUCUGUAGGUAUACUGAGGUAUGUGACUUCCAGGAGAGCACAUUUUUUUUAAAUCCCUUUUCUUCUGAAUGGCUAGGAGAGAAGAAGAGCUCUGAAAACUAAAAGGUGAAAGUGGCAUAAGACCAGUGAGCAUCGAGGGUUGAAAUCAGGUGUUUCCCAUUUACUGUGGUGCUAGGACAUGGAACAGCCUUCAGUAUAGGAGCAGAAUGAGAGAUUUGAGAAGCUGAGUGACUUGGUGGCGAGAGUUUUAUCAUUUAUGGUGAGGAUUGGUUAUGAAAUGGCGCUAUCUGUGCUGUCGGUGCUUUGACCUGAUGUCCUGGGAAGUCCUUCAGUGGCGUGUGGUCCUGCCUGUACGGACACCAGGGCAGCAUCCUUCACUGCUCCAUGUUGUUGCUGUGGCCCUGAGCCUGAAGACUGCCAUUUUUGAGGUGAUUUCAACUCAAAGACAGUGGAAGACAAGGCUUCCAAACAGUAUGAGCUUGAUCCUAUUUCUCCUGGGAGGCACAUCUGGGAGACUCCCUACCUCGGAGCAGGACCUCUGUGAGGAGAAGUUAACCCAGCUGGAGGUCACAGAGCAAAUCAGUGACGUGGUUUGUGGCAGUGGGAAGGGAAAGCUUCCCCUCUGUGGCUGUUGUGCCAAGAAGCAUCGUGUUCUCCCCACCAGCCAUGCUCUGAAAGGGGACUCCCUUCAGAAGAGGACUUAAUGCAGGGCAGUCCUAAUCCACAAACCUUGUGGAAGGAGCAGAACGAGGAUCCCCUUGCUUUGAUAGAAAUGAGUGAAGUGUGAUGUGCCACUGCGGUGAAAGCAGUCCAGGAAGCCUGACUCACGUGGAUCCUGCUGCUCAUCUCAGGUGGGAGGCAGAGAACAUCUUCAGCAGUGAGCUAGGAGCAACCACUUCAGCAUGGUAAUGGGGCUCUUCAGGGGACAGCAGGGCACGUCCUGAUGUGCAAAGCCCUCCCAACAGAGGUGGGUCCCUGGGAUCCCUGAGUUUCUGCAGUUUGCAACAGGCCUCUCCGGUAAGCAGAGUGGAGAGCAUACUUCCCAGUGCGAUCCAUGCUGCACUGCUUGCUGCUGUGACCUUCUGCAAGAAAGUACCCGAGCAGCAGUGUCCUUCCUCUGCAUACAGACAAGUGAGAGACCUGGGCUAAGAGGCUCAGGAGAGCUACUGGCAUGAAAGCAAGCCUCUGAAAAAGGGUGGAGUGGCAGAAAGGCUGCAUUUCUUCAAGGGAUCUGUGCAUUGCAUGAGAACAGCUGAUCCUGCUGCCUUUUCUGCAGCAGCUUUUGCAAGCUCUGUCAGUUCAGUAGCGAGGAAAUAUGCAUGCAUGAUAAAGAAGAGUCUUUUUUUUUCCCUACUGCCAAAAGAAAUGCAACAUUCUGGGGAAAGAGGAAAGGUUCUCGUUGCUUUCAUCAGUAAAUGAAACUAAGAAGAAGUCUCUCCUUCCUCCUCUCUCUCUUAACCCUUUUGGAGGAAAUUUUCCACUUAGCCACCUUUUUGGAGGCACUGGACAGCUCUGCCUUGGCCUUGGUCCAGAAGUGUCUCUGAUCUGCAAAACUACCCUGAAAACUGGAAACAUCACUAGAAUAGGCUUUCCUGUGAGAUUUCUGCUUCCUGCUGGGCUGACAAUGCAGCCAGACUCAGUGGGAUUUCCCCUGCACCAAGGGGGACGCGGUGUGGCUGCAUGGUAAGUCAAGUCCAAGGCUCCUCCUGAGCAGAGGAGGAAUCUGUGAAGACCCAGGUCUACUUAAAUACUCAAGGUGUUCACACCUGAAGUUUUUACUGGUGGGUAAUUCUUUAAAUCAUUCACGGGUGAAAGCAGCCUUUAGAUUUGCCAAUCUUAUGGAAGAAACUUAAUGUUUGGAGUGUUGCAUUGGGACCCCAAAGAACUAUUUUGGGAAAACUAAGCAUGUAACACCAGCCAUGGCUGGGCAGGAUUGCUUCACUCUCUAAUUGCUUCUUUAAUCCACGGUUGGCUCACCUCUGGCAGGCAGUGCAAUCAGAGCUACACUGGUAGCCUCUCUUAGUGGUUGGGUGCUCUGAUGGUGUGAGGGACAGCUGGAUGGACAGAAGAGGACAGUCCUGACAGACUUCUUAUUUCCUCCCUUCCCAACCAAGGUGCUCAGGUUCUGUAGCUCCAGCUGAGCAGAGCUGGGCUGGGACUCGGAGCACCCAUUCAUUCUACAUCGAUGCCUCCAAGAUCAUUUGAAGGUAGCGGUCCUGGUGUCAUUCAAGGGACUUGCUAGGGAACAGGAAGCAAAUGGAGUGUCUUGGUGAGACGGCUUGUAGGGAGAGCUGACUGCCAGCCAAAAACCCUAUCCAACUACAAAAGCAGCUGUUUCAGACCAAAAAAGUUUGUUGCAGUUUGGUCCCAGCUGACACUAUUGUGCCGUGCAACAGCCUCCAGAAUGUCUGCCAUGGGACAAGACCUUUUGGCUGGAGGAGUCUGUCGCUAUUCAAGCAUGGCCCAGAUCCUUAGAUAAAGGUACCAGCUCAGUCUCUGUUGGAGACAGUGGUGGGCCAUGGAGAUGACUGCUGUGGAGCUGUCUGGCUGGUCUAGGAGUCUGGGGAGAGGGACUCUGGAGCCAAAAUACCUUUUGAGGAUCUAGUUGUGCCACAGAUUGGGCCAUUCAAAUUGCCUGGCACAGCAGGAAAUACAAAGCAGAUCUCCCCUUACUGCUGCCUGAGAAUUUUCUGAGUGUCGGGAUGCAAUGUGGAGACUUCAUUCAGCAGACCUGAGCCCUUGUGAAAUCUGGGACAUCCUCUCCAGGGCAAGGGUCUCCAUCACAAAGGAAUGAGGAACCUGGGGAGGAAGUUCACCAAGCAGAGAGGUCACCCAUGCUUGUUACGUUCCUCUAAGUUCCCAGCCAAAUGUGCUGACAGAAGGAAGUGUUCCCAACAGUUCAAGCUCUGCUGAGAUCCUCUGUCGAAGCUUGUUCCUACAGUCUGCACAAUCCACCCUAUCAUCAAAGGGAGAAAAGUCUGCUGCUAAUAAACGUGUGAACUAAAGACAAAGGAAAGAAUAAAUGAAGAAUGACUCCUGUGGAGCCUAUGGAAAUGGGCAGAUGCAAAGCUGGAGUCUCUUAUCUUGUGAGCCUUUGGGAACAAAGAAAGGAUCUGAAGGACAUCUGAUUCCCUGCCACCCAAAUCUGGUUGGUGCAGAUAUGAAGAUGUGGUGCUUGUACCUCUCGGGACAUCACACCUAUGCUACAUACUUCAGCUGCCUGGGAAGGAAGGAAGAAUGGAGGCAUCCUCACCAAACCUGUGAUGGUUGCUGCUGCAGUUGUGUCUUGAGGCGCUGUGGACACACAAGUACCAGAGAUGGUAGCGUUACCUGGGAUGCCAUAGCCUCGGCUACCAGAGUGCCUUCAUGUGCUGGGCAAGGACUCAAGAGUACUUCAACAUUAAUCAGUAUCCUUCGGAUGAAGCCCUACAUAAAAAAAAUGAAGCAAUACAGAUCUUGGAGGAAUGGCUGAUACUCCAGAGGGACAUCAAUAGGCUGGCAAAUAGGCUGAGAGGAACCUCCUGCAGUUCAGCCAGAGGAAAUGCUGAGUCCUGAACCUGGGGAGGAGCAACCCCAGGGCACUACAACAGGCUGGAGAACCAACUGGAAAGCAGCUGAGAGAGGAAGGACCUUGAGGUCCUGGUGGACACCACAUUGAACAGGAGCCAGCAUGAACUGGAGCCUCGUGGCAAAGGCCAGCAGGGGUGAUGCCAGCAGGUGGAGGGAGAUGAUCCUCCCCUCCUUUCAGCACUGGUGAGAUACAACUGGGCUCCCAGUGAAAGAAAGACGUGGACAUAGUGGAAUGAGUAAAUGAAUGGUCAAGAUGAUGAUUAAGAAGAGCUUGGAUCAUCUAGCAUAUGCAGAGGGGCUGAGAGCACUGGAGUUGUUUUGUUUAGAGACAGGAAGGCUCAGGGUAGAGGGGAACUUAUCAGUGGGAAUCACAGAAUCAUCUAGGUUGGAAGAGACCUCCAAGAUCACCUAGUCCAACCUCUGACCUAACACUAACAAGUGCUCCACUAAACCAUAUCACUAAGCUAAACAAACUGGAACACCGGAAAUUCCAUUUAAACGUAAGAAAAAGCUCACUGGGAGGGCGGUGAAACGCUGGAAUUGGUUGCUCUGGGAGGUUUUGGAGUCUCUGCCCUUAGAGAUAUACAAAACCCUACUGGAUGUGACCCUGAGCAACAUUCUCAAUGUGAUCCUGCUCUGAGCAGAACGUUUGGGCUGGGUGAUCUACAGAGCACCCUUCUGACCUCAGUGUUUCUGUGAUUUACUUCCCAGUUGUUACCACUAUGUAAAUCAUUGAGCUGUCAAAGAGUUCAGAUGAUCUGGUGAAGAACUAAAGAGAUUCUGUGCUUAGCAUGAAGGUCCACUGGUCUGGAGUGGAUUAGCUGAGUCAGACAGCCAGUCUGUCAGCUGGAUAAACAGCCCUCUGCCACUUCUCCGAGGUCCUCCUUUGGCACACUGAGCAAUAGAGAGUCACAUGCCGUAGUGCAGAGCAAACCCAGAGAGAGCUUAUAAUCUCUAGGUCUAGGAACUGGUUUUGUUAUAUGAAUAACAAAUAGAAGAGCAAGGCCGUAGCGAGAUCUUUUCCAUAUGUCAGGUCAGAAGCUCUUCAGUUAUCAAGUAGGCUCCUAUUCUCUGCCUUUGGCUGGAGUGAGCACAGAAGGUGUUUUUUCAGGGUUCAUGUCAUGAGGCAUAGGAAGUUGGUUACAGACACAACACAGGACAUUUGGCAAAGGCAUUGAUUUCUAAGUUAUUAAUAGCUAUUAAGAUAUUUCAUUUUAGAAGAAAGAAAUGUGGGAAGAAAGGCAAAUCCAGUAUUGUGAGUAUUCAAUAUGAUCAUAGCUUGUGCUAUUUGAUCUAAGAGGAAUCCUGCUUGUUUUUCCAGUGACUGUUACAACUUGGAUGCUGGGAUUUCAAGGUGUUACUCUAUUAGCAAUAGUGGCAGAAUGGAACUGAAAUCCUGUCCCUUUUUCAGGACACUAUCAGAAAUAGUUUCAAGAUGGGACCACAGAGCAGGGGUUUGAGGAAGAAGGCACAGAAGUCUUGAAGGUCAGCUGUAGUCAUGAAAACAGAAGUCUGGGAGAUUUCCCCAGGGUACAGCCUGUCAAGGGCUCUGCAAAACUAACCCAAAUUCAGGCUGCUUGGAGAUAAACUGAUACCUUAGAAAACAUACAGGAACAGAAACCAUCCAACUUCUGCCUUGGAAGGUCUCAUACUUCUUGGGCUAAGCCAGCCUUGAAUGAACGGAAAGUGGCUGAGAAAAAGUUCCUUGAGCAUCUGUUGUUCUAGGCUUUUACACUGUUGUGUUUCCUUUAAGGCUGUCUCUGCUUGCUUUGCUCUGUGCUGAGGUACCUAAGCUGGUGACCCAGGGACAUCAGUGACAGGGGGUGAGUUUGGCACUUUAGCUUCUAAAAACCUCCAGCAAAGAUGUGUGAAAACAUGGGGAUUCUUAGUAAAAUACUGUUGGGUUUUGUUUGUUUGUUUUUGUUUUUGAGAAGUCAAGGAAGUCAUCAACCAUAAGGUAAUAGAAAAGAGCUCUGCAGCAAUUUGUUUUAUCUUAAUGUGGCAAGCAGACAAUGCCUCCCUGGCCUCCUCUGCUCUCCUCAUGGAUAAGAGGAUAUGGCUCUCCAGAGGCAGUUUAAAGGUGGAAUGCUAUGUCCCCAUUGCCCCAACUUACUAAAGACUUCUAACGGAGAUAAAAUACAAACUACUCACACUAACGCUCGAGAGCCAACAACUGCCUUGUGGUUAAGACAGAUUUGGCCAAGGGUCUGUUUUUGAGUCCCAGCUCUGCCAGCAGCAGUCUGUGACAUUGGCAAGUACGCUUCCCGGGUAUGGGAAAGUACUUUUCUAUGAAUUUCCCUGUAUUAUACUCUCUUCCAUUAAAGCUAAUCCUGUCCUUUGAAUAUGUUAUUGAUUCAUGUUCUGCUUUGUCUCUUGUUGACCAUACAUAUCGAAUGAGGAUGGGAGCCUCUCCCCCCAUCUGGCUUUUCUUUGUAGGUUCAGACUUUCAGUUUCCAGCUGAAGAGGCUAACUAUUCCUGGGCCUGCAGUGCUAGGAAAAGCUGGUACACUCACACUUGUGGCAACCAGGGAGUGAGAAGACGCCGGCAGGACACUGCUGUCUCACCCACCUACUGCUGUUAUUUCUGAUAGCGCUAACUGUGCUGUCAGAGAAAACCAGAACAAAAGGAAAGGAGUAUUUGGUCUAGGAAGAAAAUCAUGAUGGUCAGAGAUGAAGGAAAAGGAAUGACUGAAAUCUGUCCUGUCAAACAUCUCUGAGUCCUCUCCGUGGUCUCAUCUGCAGCCCCAGCAGAGUGUCAGGCAGAACCUGGAUGUUAAUGAACACAAGAAGACUCAAAUGUGGCAACUGCUAAUCACAGGCAACUGUGGGAGUGAUGAUGCCAAGAUUAUCACUGUAAUGCCAAAAGAAUCUGACUCGAGUGCUUAAAAUUCAGUCACAUAAGAUUGUAUUUAGAGCCUGUUCUCACCUCUCACGGUGUCUACGCAAAUCCUGCUUGACUUAUCAUCACUUUCCAAAAGCAGGAACGUUUUUGAAGUUUGGAGAAUUCAGGUAGAAUUUUUCCCCACCCAAACCGCUGGUUAUACCUGGCUGGCCCUUCCAUGUGCUGGUGUCCCAUCUCACAUGUGAGGAUGUUGAAGAUCCUUUGCUGAAUUGCCUUGCAGAUUGCAUUGUCCCUCUCUGGCCAGGGAAGUGUGGGGAGAUGGUGGCUGGAAGUUUUUGCCAGCAGGCACAGCUGGGAAAAGGCUGCCCUGUCUGUGUUUCACUUUGAAAUAUGUGCUCAGGACACCACUGAUGCCAGAAAAUGCUGUUCUCUUGGAUGGGAAUAAAUCAAUAUACAAAAAUCCCUCUCUACCGAGUAAUGCUUUAUAUAUCACAUUUAUGCAUUUCUGUUGGCCUCAGUGUUAUAUACAAUUCCUGCAUAAUUCCUGUAUAAGGUAGAAUUGCACCGAUGGUUCUUCCCUCAAAAUGUUAUCGUGCUUCUGCAGGCGCAGGGCAGCAGAAGACCAGGCUGAAAUCUGAUCUGGUGAUUUCAUCUGCCACAUGUCAAGUUAAUCCUCUGGGAACUCGAUGGAACCCGUGAAGUCAUGCCAAGACUUAAACUUGGCGUGAAGCUGGAGGGAUGAGUCCAGCCACCACCUGCAUCGAGUUGUGGCGCAUGCGACAAGCUGGCUGCUGCUUGUCUACAGACUCCAGCUCCUGCAGUCCACCCUCUGAGCGAGAGAAUGAGCCCUGAUGCUUUGAACAUUGCACAAGAAGGAGCAGUGCCCCCAGAGGCAUGCACCCUGUACACACACGUAUCCGGUGGGGUGGAUGGAAAUGCACACAGGCCGCUUUGAUCUCCUCCUGCAGUAGUCUGAGGCCAUUGUAGGUGCCCUUGUCCUUGCUCAGUAUGUGCAUUGUCACCAUGGGAAGAUUGCUAUGUGUUUGAAAUGGUUAAAAGUUGAGUGGUAAUCAGGCCUGCACCCAAUUGUCCCUUGGCCUAAAGCACUGCAUUUGGGAAUGUCAAACCUCCCUGACAAGUAUUGCAUCAGGAACAACAUGGGUGUUUUUUUUCCUGUUGGUUUAGCCAGCCUGACCCCUGACUUUCCAUAAA